rnacentral:SRP_RNA from 1 species
UCGUGCUAGGCGGAGGGCUGCCGGUCCUCUGAACCCGAAACCCGGCAUAUGCGGGGCUGAAUUCCCGACGGAGGUUUUGCUAUUUUCGGAAUUCUGAGGUGGCGGUGGCGUUGAUAUUCAGGUCUUGCGCAAGGUGUGCUUCUCGAACCCCGCCAGGCCCGGGAGGGAGCAACGGUAGAGAAUGUCAUAUCUGUGCCGCAAGGUAGCCUGAAUGGAGCCACCUAAGCCAAGGAGCCGAAAAAUAGCAAAUCGAAGUCGGGUGCACGA